rnacentral:rRNA from 1 species
GACGAACGCUGGCGGCGUGCUUAACACAUGCAAGUCGAACGGAAAAACCCGAGCUUGCUCUUCUGGUCGAGUGGCGAACGGGUGAGUAACACGUGAGUAACCUGCCCUACACUUUGGGAUAAGCCUGGGAAACUGCGUCUAAUACCGGAUACGAGCCCGAUCUGCAUGGCUUGUGUGUGAGAAUUUUUUCGGUCUGGGAUGGACUCGCGGCCUAUCAGCUUGUUGGUGUGGUAGCGGCUCACCAAGGCAACGACGGGUAGCCGGCCUGAGAGGUCGACCGGCCACACUGGGACUGAGACACGGCCAAGACUCCUACGGGAGGCAGAAGUGGGGAAUAUUGCAAAAUGGGCGAAAGCCUGAUGCAGCGACGCCGCGUGAGGGAUGACGGCCUUCGGGUUGUAAACCUCUUUCAGCAGGGAAGAAGCGAAAGUGACGGUACCUGCAGAAGAAGCACCGGCUAACUACGUG